UACGUAGGUGGCAAGCGUUGUCCGGAUUUACUGGGCGUAAAGAGCGCGCAGGCGGUCGUUCAAGUCGCGUGUGAAAGCCCCCGGCUCAACUGGGGAGGGUCACGCGAUACUGAUCGACUCGAAGGCAGGAGAGGGUAGUGGAAUUCCCGGUGUAGUGGUGAAAUGCGUAGAUAUCUGGAGGAAUACCGGUGGCGAAGGCGGCGUUCUGGACUGCAACUGACACUGAUGAACGAAAGCCAGGGGAGCAAACGGG
rnacentral:rRNA from 1 species